CGGAGCAGCGGUUCCGAAAUUAGAUUGAGAUGAUGAAAAAUAUUAUUUAACGAAAAAAAGAAUCGAUAAUCUCGUUGUUGAAAUCGAUUUUUUCACAGCUCUAAUAACAGCUGAAGUAUUCACAAGUGUUUUGCAAUAAUUGCUUUUGAACCUGGACGGUGUGAACGGAAGGCCAUUAUAUAUCCAGUAUUUGUUUUCUUCUUAAUUGAUUGACGAGGCAACAGCCGGAAGGAAAGACCCGUAACAUACGUUUAGGGAAAAUGCAAG